AUACAUGUGUGGGUCGAUGGAACAAGGCCAAGGCAAAGACUAACAAGAUCACUGAACAGCCAACAGAUGGUAAUGACUUCCAGAUUCUCAGCCAGAGCCGGAUUCAUACCAAGGACUGGGGGCAUCAAGGCUCCUAGCAUCACUCCCUCUCUGCCUAUUCACGAGGAACACUGGUUUUAAUGAUUUCUUCAGAUUUUGUGGAAAAGUGCCAAAUUGUUGAAUUUGCUAAUUUGUUGCCCAGUUGGCAGAUGGAAAGGAAAAGAUCGACAAAGCUGGAGCUGAGAGCUGCUUUUAAGGGGGGAAAGAGGAGGAAGACCAGGAGGAAGAAAAUGAUAUAGAAGACAAGGAAUAUAAAGACAAAAAAGAAGAAAGAUGAGGGGAAAGAGGAGUGAUCAUCUGUGAAGAGGUCAGAAGUGGCUAGCUCUGAGGUGGUCCUGAAGGAAAGGGAACAAAAUUGUCUGGGGUGCUCUUUAUUCAGAAGAGUAUAAAUGCAAAUGACAGCAUUUACAGGGGGAUGGGAAAUAAGGUGAUGACAAAUGUAAAGGAUUCUUUGAGCUUGGAGCCUGCUAACUUGGAAUCUGGUAGAGCCAUGGCGCCUAUUUACAAGAAUCUGGGACAGCAUAAUAUCUUUUCCUAGUCAGGUUGGUGCCAAUGUGUCCUGGCACUGGGAAGAGUAUUAAAUUGAGCUUAGCAUUUGUCUAAACCAUGCUGUCUGUUAUACUUUUAAGAUAUGCUUUGCUUCCUCAGGCUAGGAGUUGCACUAAGCCCCUCCCCUGAGAAUAGCAAACA